UCUAAACUGAUCUCUAUUUUUUAAAUUACAAACAGCAGUUUUACCCAGAAAAAUUUUCGAAAAAAAUUCAUUUGAGUGGGUAAACGUUUUCUGAUUGAUCUGAAAUUUUACAUACAUAUUUUUGGCACUGUUAUUGAAUAUACAAAAAUAUUUUCCGCAAAAAAAUAAGUCGAAAAAGUCAAAAAAUUGAAAAAAUACGAAAUCUAAUAAAAAAUUAAAAAAAUAUUCAGCGGGUUGAAUUUGGUGCCCAAAUUUUCCAGAUCAAAAAUUCAAUAUUUGAAGACAUUCCAGAUUUAAUUUCGUGAUUUUUGGAGAUCGGGAACACCUCGAACAAAGUUGUCAAGUUACUCCGCAGUUUUUCGGGUUUUCUGUUUUCAGCAAUUUUUAUUGAUUCUUAGCUGUAGGUUUUCAUUUGUUUGCUUUUUAUUCUCCCUUUACAAUAUCUAACACCUUCUUGUUUUUUUGUGUUAGUAGGAUUUAAACGUGUGCCCAAUUCUUCCUCGGUGCAACACGAAUCAAUUGGUGUCUCGUCAGUUUUUGGCAUCCUAGUGCAAAUUAGGAUUCUUUGGUAGUUUGGUUCACACUCUCUAAUUGGUUGAUAUAAACUCUGAUAAAGAACUCACAAGAUUGAAUUCGAC
rnacentral:lncRNA from 1 species